GCAUCGGUGGUCUAGUGGUAGAAUACUCGCCUGCCACGCGGGUGACCCGGGUUCGAUUCCCGGUCGAAGCA
rnacentral:tRNA from 1 species